rnacentral:ribozyme from 11 species
GUUGAUGAAUCUUAUGAAUUAAAAUGAUUGAAAGAUAAAGUUAUCAAAAUCUUAUCACCAUGUCAUGUUAUGU